rnacentral:rRNA from 1 species
UACAGAGGGUGCAAGCGUUAAUCGGAAUUACUGGGCGUAAAGCGUGCGUAGUCGGUUAUCUAAGUCGGGUGUGAAAUCCCCGGGCUCAACCUGGGAAUUGCAUUCGAUACUGGAUAGCUAGAGUUCGGCAGAGGGAAGCGGAAUUUCGGGUGUAGCGGUGAAAUUCGUAGAUAUUCGGAAGAACACCAGUGGCGAAGGCGGCUCACUGGCCCGGUACUGACGCUGAGGUGCGAAAGCGAGGGGAGCAAACGGG